rnacentral:lncRNA from 1 species
CUUUUUGUCUAGGAUUGAAUUGAGUGGAGAUUUGGCCAAUUUGUGUUUCCAAUUGUUUGAUGGAAGUUGAGUGGGACACAACUAUCUGGUUUAGUUCAAAAAAAUCUUCUUUCAAUUCAUGAACCAUUUUUGUCUGUUCCCUCAAUUUUCAUUAAAAUUAUUGCCAAGACAUCUUUUAUUUAUAUUUAUCGGGGCCAAAAGAGCUACCUUCUUUGUUAUUUGCCUACUCAUCGGGAGGAAUAUAAACAUUAGAGUCACAGUCCCUAUCCCCUUAAUCACGGUCAUAAUCCUAUCCCUAUUGUUCUAACCUUAGUUUCUACCUUGCUUUAGAUAGGUGGGGCAUGAACCCCUCGAAUAAAUUUCACAUUACUGAAUCUCCUCAUCAAUAUUCUUGGCUUCUUUAUAUUCAUAGGCCGUGAAUGACACAACAUUCACCACUUUUUUGGGUGCACCCAUCACAUCUUUCAUCAAAAGCUUUAAUUGAGUCAUUAUUUUUUCCAUACUCUACUCUCUUUCCUCAUAUUUCUUUCUUUGUUCUUUAUUAACAACAGAGGUUGUAGGAGAUCCAUUUGGUACCUUGGCAUCCCAUGUAUGCCACCCAUAAUUUUUCUAAGUAACUUCAUCAAGCAAAUUUGAAUCCACAUAUUGAGUCAACUUCACAAGAGAUCCACCCGCCACAUUAUCCACCACAUUUUUAUUGAGUGGAUCAAGAGCCUGAUAGAAGAUUUUGACAAGCAUAUUCUCUGAGACCUGAUGGUUGGGACAAUGCAAGAGUUUUCCUAUGAAUUUUUCCCCCACGUCAUACAAUGGUUCCCUACUUAAUUUCCUAAAUCUCAUGAUCUCAUCAUACAAUUGGAGCAUUUUAUACAUUGAAAAUACUGGUGAGUUCAUCCUAUGAGGUGCUGGAUCUAGACUAAAGAGAGCCAAGCCACUACAACAUCUUUCCCAUUAGAUAAAAUAGGAAAAUACAAAUUCGGAUGGACUUUUGGGUUAUUUGUGUAAUAUCAAAUGGUG